GCAAAGGCACAGACUUCACUUCUUUUGCAGGUGAUCCCAGGAGCUCUGCCUUAACUGACCGUGUGCACAGGUAGGUCUGCCACAGCACUGUCAGCGUGUAUUCUUCUCCAGCUAGAUGGAGUCGACCCCAAAGGAAAAGUUACGAACAGGUGACCUCCACGGUCAGCUGCUCUUCUCCUCUCACGCCCCUUCCAUCUUUUCUCUUCUUGCUUUACGCUUCCCCCCAUGCAGACUCUUCUGGGGGUGAGCUUGACCGAAAAUCAGCAAAUGCAAAUACGCAUGUCGGGGUGACUCUUUGUCUUAUUUUUUUGGCAGAAGAUUUCUUUUUUUCUUUUUACUUUUUGUAAUCAAUAUAGCUUGAAUUAAUAAAUCCAUUUUGUUAGUUAGGUCAGUUCUCAAAAAAGCCGAUAGAACAACCAACAGUUGUUUUCUUUGGAUGUCCUAGUAUGUAUCUUUCCAGGGGCACUGUGAAAGCAGUAAUGCUAUCGCGUAGUCACUGGAAGACCUACUGCCGUUUGAGUUGGAACCUUUGUCUUGGAGGUCUUUCACGUUGUUUCAGGAAUUGCCGUGUUACUGAAAACAUGGUUUGAGAAAGCAAAUACUGCUCAGAUUUAUCUUACGCUCCCCAGAACUCCUCUUCUGGAUUUACUCUUCCUAAUAUUAUUUUUAUACUGACUUUAAAAAUACUGUUCCCAGGCUAGUGUUUGAAUUGGAGCUACAGCUGCCGGCCUACACCACAGCCCAGCAGUGUAGGAUCCGAGACAAGUCUGUGACCUGCACCACAGUUCACAGAAACACCGGAUCCUUAACCCACUGAGCGAGACCAAGGGUGGAACCCGUAACGUCAUGGUAACUAGUCGGAUUUGUUUCCACUGAGCCACAAUGGGAACUCUAUUUAUUUUUUUUUUAACACUGGAUUGAUGCUACUGGUACUUGAUGUUAUUUUUUGGAGUAGUGGUUGAGAUAGAGUCAUAGAGCAUUUUCUAAUUGUGGCUCUAGCACUUAUUGUCUUCUCAGCCUUUGGCAACAUACUUCUGUGAUUCUCGCUUGUCUUUUUAUUUAUUGUGGAAUUAUAGACACACUUACAAAUGUAUAUGAAAGUGUGCAGGUACCCUUUAAGGGCAAUGAUGAAGGGAGUUCCCGUCGUGGCUCAGUGGUUAAUGAAUCUGACUAGGAACCAUGAGGUUGCAGGUUGGAUCCCUGGCCUCGCUCAGUGGGUUAAGGAUCCAGUGUUGCUAUGAGCUGUAGUGUAGGUCGCAGACAAGGCUCAGAUCUGGCGUUGCUGUGACUGUGGUGUAGGCCGGCAACCUUAGCUCUGAUUCGACCCCUAGCCUGGGAACUUCCAUAUGCUGCAGGUGCAGCCCUAAAAGGAUAAAAGGCAAAAAAANAACAGUUAUCUGCAUGCUUGUCACCAGACCAAUAAGUAGCACAUGGCUGUUUCCUAGCAGGUAUGAAAAUAAUCACAGACUGUUCCUCCAUUUACAGUCAGUGGACAGUAGGGUUCUUUUCAGCUGAAGUAAACGUGCCUGUAUAUGUCUCUCGGUAGCAUGCACAAGGGUUUCUCUGGUUGUAUGUGGAGUAGGAAUUAGGAUUUCUCCAGCAUAGGAUAUGAGCAUUUCAGCUUUAGUGUGGAAACAGCCAAGCUAUUCCAAAAAAUUUGUACCAUUUUGCCUAACUCAUUAGCAGUAUGUGAGAGCAACAUUUACAUUCAGGGUAAUAACGUAUUUGGAUUUAUUUUUAAUCUUAUUUUGUGCUUUAUCUUUCAUCUGUUUUUUAAAUCUCUCUCCUUGCCCUCUUUUGGAUUAUUUUUCUUCUUCCAUUUUCUCUAUUUAAAUUAGAGGUUAAUGGUGUUAUUUCUUUUUAUUCUGUGCUUACUUUAUAAAUUUCAACUUGCGUAGUUACCAGUCUAAAAUCGAUCACUAUCCUUAUACUCCUGAAUGAUACAAGAACUUUAGAACUUGAAUUCCACUCAUUCAUUCCUCUUGCAAUUUAUAUGAUACUAUGCUUUUUUUUUUUUUUUUUUUUUUUUUUUUUUUUGUCUUUUUGCCUUUUUCUAGUGCCGCUCCGGCAGCACAUGGAGGUUCCCAGGCUAGGGGUCGAAUCGGAGCUGUACCCUCUGAUCUACGCCACAGCCACAGCAGCAGCAACACGGGAUCCAAACCGAGUCUGCGACCUACACCACAGCUCACGGCAACGCCAGAUCCUUAACCCACUGAGCAAGGGCAGGGACCGAACCCAAAACCUCAUGGUUCCUAGUCGGAUUCGUUAACCACUGCGCCACGACGGGAACUCCUGAUAUUAUGCAUUUUAAUUACUUGUAUAACUUCACCAAUUUCAUAGUCAUUUCUGUCAUCAUCAUCAUUUUUGUUAUGUUUACUCACAGGUAGACUGUUUGUUAUUCUUAACUCUUUUAUUUCAAUCCUUCCGUCUGGGGUGACUUUCCUUAUUGAGAGUCUGCUAGUGUCAAAUUCAAUUUUUGUUUUUCUGAAAACAUCCUUAAAAGUUUUUACUGGAAGUAGACCUGUUUAUGUUCAGACAACAGUUAUUUUUUUCUAAACACAUUAAAGAGCAUUCCCCAGUUGCUCCUGGGAAGUCAGCUACCAGGCCCAGUUGUCACUUCUUUAAAGGCAGUAUUUCAAGAGUUCCUGCUGCGGUGCAGCAGGUUAAGGAUCCAGCAUUGCUAUAGCUAUGCUGCUGGUCACAGCUGUGGCUCAGAUUUGAUCCCUGGCCCAGGAACUUUCAUAUGUUGUGGGUGAGGCCAAAAAGAAAAAAA
rnacentral:lncRNA from 1 species